GAGUUUGAUCCUGGCUCAGGAUGAACGCUAGCGGCAGGCCUAACACAUGCAAGUCGAGGGGUAACAGGAGGUGCUUGCACCUUGCUGACGACCGGCGCACGGGUGCGUAACGCGUAUACAAUCUACCUUUUGCUGAGGGAUAGCCCAGAGAAAUUUGGAUUAAGACCUCAUGGUAUCAUAUUAUCGCCUGGUAAAAUAAUUAAAGGUUACGGCAAGAGAUGAGUAUGCGUCCUAUUAGCUAGAUGGUGUGGUAACGGCACACCAUGGCUACGAUAGGUAGGGGCCCUGAGAGGGGGACCCCCCACACUGGUACUGAGACACGGACCAGACUCCUACGGGAGGCAGCAGUGAGGAAUAUUGGACAAUGGGCGCAAGCCUGAUCCAGCCAUGCCGCGUGCAGGAAGACUGCCCUAUGGGUUGUAAACUGCUUUUAUACGGGAAGAAACCCACCUACGUGUAGGUGGCUGACGGUACCGUAAGAAUAAGGAUCGGCUAACUCCGUGCCAGCAGCCGCGGUAAUACGGAGGAUCCAAGCGUUAUCCGGAAUCAUUGGGUUUAAAGGGUCCGUAGGUGGAUAAUUAAGUCAGGGGUGAAAGUCUGCAGCUCAACUGUAGAAUUGCCUUUGAUACUGGUUAUCUUGAGUCAUUAUGAAGUGGUUAGAAUGUGUAGUGUAGCGGUGAAAUGCAUAGAUAUUACACAGAAUACCGAUUGCGAAGGCAGAUCACUAAUAAUGUACUGACACUGAUGGACGAAAGCGUGGGUAGCGAACAGGAUUAGAUAC
rnacentral:rRNA from 1 species